GAUGAAAUAAAAUUAUUCUGUGAAAACCCACCUUAAAGCGGUCUAUAUGGGAUGACAAAUUAAGCUACAAAACAUUUCUAGUUUCAGAAAAUAUUACACUAAAGAUCGAGUCAGGUAAAUUCGGAUCAAAUGAAGUCAAAUUUAAGAGAGUAGUGCCAAGGGACGGCUGGACGCACGUGAUUGUUGAGAUUACAGAAAUUACUUCCUAGUACUCUACCUACCCACUAUUAUGACGCUAUUUACGACCUUGCGGCGGCGCGCUUCUGCUCUCGCUAAUGGAUUCUUCAUUUCAUUUCCUCCGGACGUUUCCGAUAUUGUCGUUGUUUUUCACGGAUCAUCGAGAAACAUUUUAUGGUAAAAGACAUCGAGAGAAAAACGUUCAAUUAAUUUCAAACGUCAAUACGCUAA